rnacentral:rRNA from 1 species
CGGGAAAAGCUCAAAUUUAAAAUCUGGUGGCCCUUCCGCCAAUCGAGUUGUAAUUUAGAGAAGCGUCUUCCGCGCUGGACCGUGCAUAAGUCUCCUGGAACGGAGCGUCAUAGAGGGUGAGAGUCCCGU